UAAGGUUCGACUCGAGCGGAAGCGAGAGAACGUUGCCAACGGCAACGGCCCGAAGGGGAAGGAGCGGAGCGACGAAUAAUCCUUCUCCCACCACCA
rnacentral:sRNA from 1 species